CAGAUAGUAUCUCUAUUGGCAAGCUGAAUAGUAACAUCAAUAGGUUCCAUCUCGACAGGUGCAGUCUCGUCUUUAAUUUCAUCAUAUAAAGACCGAGGUAUUGCACUAACACUAGCACCCACGUCACAUAAACCAUGAUAACAAUGAUCUCCAAUCUUAACAGAAACAACAGGCAUGCCAACAACAGGCUUAUGUUUGUCUCUAGCAUGAGGUUUAGCAAUUCUAGCACCAUCUUCACAUAAGUGAAUAACAUGCCCAUCAACAUUGUUGGACAGGAGAUCUUUUGAUAAUAGCAAUGCUAGGUUCAACUUUAAUUUGCUCAGGGGGUGUAGGUGUUCUAAUGUAGCCCUUACAUAUCACAGUUGAAGCUUUAGCAUGAUCCUUUAUUCUAACAUGGAAAGGUGGUUUCUCAAUGUAAGCACUAGGAACAAUAGGAUCAUUAUAAGCAAUGACUUUCUCUUCAACUGGAUUGGGUUUAACUACAUUGACUUCUAUGGGAGGAUGAUAUUUAAACCACUUCUCUUUAGGGAGAUUAAUAUGAGCAGAAAAUGAUUCACAUAAUGAAGCUACCAUCUCAUAGUCAAGUCCAUGUUUAGCGCUAAAAUCACAAAAAGUAUUUGUUUCAACAAAGGAUUUAACGCAAUCGAACUUAAGAUUCAUACCUUACUCCUUACCUUCAUCAAACUCCCAAUCUUCAGAGUUGCAUUUAAUUCUUUCCAAUAAAUUCCAUUUGAAGUCAAUAUCUCUCUUCAUAAAAGAACCAGUACAAGAAGUGUCAAGCAUGGUGCGAUUAUCAUGAGAAAGCCGAGCAUAAAAGUUCUGAAUAAUAAUUUCUCUCGAGAGCUCAUGGUUAGGGCAUGAAUAUAACAUUGACUUAAGCCUCCCCCAAGCUUGAGCGAUACUUUCUCUAUCGCGAGGCCAAAAAUUAUAAAUAUAAUUCCGAUCACGAUGUACCAGAUGCAUAGGAUAAAACUUUUGAUGAAAUUCCAAUUUCAAUCGGUUGUAGUUCCAUGAUCCAGUAUCAUCACAUAGCCUAUACCAUGUCAAUGCUUUAUCCCUCAAAGAUAAGGGAAAGACCUUCUUCUUGGCCUCAUCCUCGGGCAAACCUGUAAGCUUAAAUAAACCACAAACUUCAUCUACAUAGAUUAGAUGCAAGUCGGGAUGUGAUGUUCCAUCUCCUGUAAAAGGAUUAGCCAACAAUUUCUCUAGCAUACCCGAAGGAAUUUCAUAAUAAAUAUUUUCAGUAGGUGCAGUAGGUUGAGGAGCAACUCCUUGUGGUUACGGUCGAGGUGAAGAUACCCCGAACAAGCUCUUCAAAGGAUUAGUUUCCAUAGUGACAAGUGAUAAUAAAUUUCAGCACACUAUAUAAAUGUUUCCUUACCAAAUUCCACUUACCAAAGGCGCUUCACUCCCCGACAACGGCGCUAGAAAAGAGUAUUGAUGACCCACAAGUGUAGGGGAUCUAUCGUAGUCCUUUCGAUAAGUAAGAGUGUCAAACCCAACGAGGAGCAGAAGGAACUGACAAGUGGUUUUCAACAAGGUAUUCUGUGCAGGCACUGAAAUUAUCGGUAACAAAUAGUUGUGUGAUAAGAUAAUUCAUAGCGAGUAGCAAGUAACAAUAGUAACAAAGGUGUAGCAAGAUGGCCCAAUCCCUUUUGUAGCAAGGGACAAGCCUGGACAAACUCUUAUAUGAGGUAAAGCGCUCCCGAGGACACAUGGGAAUUUUUGUCAAGCUAGUUUUCAUCAUGUUCAUAUGAUUCGCGUUCGCUACUUUGAUAUUUUGAUAUGUGGGUGGACCGGUGCUUGGGUGCUUCCCUUACUUGGACAAACAUCCCACUUAUGAUUAACCCCUCUCGCAAGCAUCCGCAACUACGGAAGAAGAAUUAAGACAAAGUCUAACCAUAGCAUUAAACUAGUGGAUCCAAAACAGCCCCUUACGAAACAACGCAUAAACUAGGGUUUAAGCUUCUGUCACUCUAGCAACCCAUCAUCUACUUAUUACUUACCAAUGCCUUCAUCUAGGCCCAAAUAAUGGUGAAGUGUCAUGUAGUCGACGUUCACAUAACAACACUAGAGGAAAGACAACAUACAUCGCAUAAAAAUAUCGAACGAAUACCAAAUUCACAUGACUACUUAUAGAAAGACUUAUCCCAUGUCCUCAGGAACAAAAGUGACUACUCACAAAGCAUAAUUAUGUUCAUGACCAGAGAGGUAUUGAAUAGCAUUAAUGAUCUGAACAUAUGACCUUCCACCGAGUAAUCCAACUAGCAUCAACUACAAAGAGUAAUUAACACUACUAGCAACCUUACAAGUACCAAUCGGAGUCGCGAGAUGGAGAUUGGUUACAAGAGAUGAACUAGGGUUUGGAGAUGAGAUGGUGCUGAUGAAGAUGUUGAUGGAGAUGAGUCCCCUCCGAUGAGAGGAGUGUUGGUGAUGAUGAUGGCGACGAUUUCGCCCUCCGGGAGGGAAGUUUCCCCGGCAGGACGACCCUGCAAGAGCUCUAGAUUGGUUCUGCUCAAGUUACGCCUUGUGGCGGCGGCGUCUCUUCCCAAAAGCCUCCUCCUGAUUUUUUCUAGGACGAAACCCUCCUUAUAGCCGAAGAUGGGAGCAGAAGGGGUAACAGGGGGCCCGCAAGCCACCGAGGCGCGACCAGGGGGGUAGGCCGCGCCUGGCAGGCUUGUGCCGCCCUGGUGGCUCCCCUCCAGUACUUCUUCCGCCCAAUAUUUUUUAUAAAAUCCAAAAUAAUUCCUCAUUGAUUUUCACGGCUUUUGGAGUUGUGCAGAAUAGGUAUCUCAAACUUGCUCCUUUUUCAGCCCAGAAUCCCAGCUGUCGGCAUUCUCCCUCUUCAUGUAAACCUUAUAAAAUAAGAGAGAAAAGGCAUAAGUAUUGUACCAUAAUGUGUAAUAACAGCCCAUAAAGCGAUAAAUAUCAACAUAAAAGCAUGAUGCAAAAUGGACGUAUCAGGAUCUCAGGCAAGAUGACCAUUUCCCCAGAUACCAUUACUAUCAUUGCCAUGCUAGUUUAUCGUUUCUACCGCUAUGUCUCGUUGCCUACCACCUGUUAAAUAUCAGCCUCCCAACAUUGCCAUGAAAACCUUCCACCCGUUCACAACCUAGCAAACCACUGUUUGGCUAUGUUACCGCCUGCUUAACCAUGUGUUAGCGUUGCUAGAUGUAGGUGCAAUUGUUUCCAUGUGAUAACAUGGGUUCCUUGUCAUAUCACCAUAUUAAUGCUAUUUAAUUUAAUGCACCUAUAUACUUGGUAAAAGGUGGAAGGCUCGACCUUUCUAGCCUAGUGUCUUGUUCCACCUUUGCCCCCUUAGUUUCGGCUACCGGUGUUAUAUUCCAUAAUUGAGUGCUCCUAACACGAUCGAGGUUGUUAUGGGGACCCCCUUGAUAAUUCGUUUUAGAUUAAAGCUGGUCUGACAAGGCCCAACCUUGUUUUUUCAUUCACCUAAUAACCUAAUAAAAUUGCAUAGGGACUUUCCGGACCCCGAGGAUAAUUAAUCAACCCCCGAGCCAGUGCUCCUCAUGAGUGUUGGUCCCACCUGAGCGAUGUCCGGCGCCCCCUGGUCACCCAGGGUUUAGCCAACCAGACGUCUAGCUCAUCCGUCGUGUCCUGAGAACGAGAUACGCGGCUCCUACCUGGUUCGUCGACACGACAGGCGGCCUUGCUGGAUUAGUUUUACCUUUGACGAAUGUCUUGUGCAUCAGGAUUCCGGUGAUGCUUUGGGUAAUCUCAAUGCUGAGGUUUUCCACUAAGGAGUCCGACGAGAUCGCGAGCUUCGUGAUUGAGGAUUUCUAUGCGUCUUGUGGUAAUUUGCGAUGGACUAGUUGGAGCACCCCUGCGGGGUUAAAUCUUUUGGAAAGCCGUGCCCGUGGUUAUGUGGCAACGUGGAAACUUUGUUUAACACUGGUUCUAGACAACUUGAAGUUAACUUAAUUAAAAUAUGCCAACUGAGUGCGUAACCGUGACUGUCUCUUUCGUGAGCUCCUUCUCCGAUCGAGGACACUAUGGGGAUAUGUUUGACGUAAGUAGGUGUUCAGGAUCAUUCCUUUGAUCAUCAUUAGCUCACGUCCGCUAUGCGUAGAUCACCCCCCUCUUUAUUCUCGUACGCGUAAGUUAGCCACCAAAUAUAUGCUUAGUCGCUUGCUGCAGCCUCACCACUUAACCAUACCUCACCUAUUAAGCUUUGCUAGUCUUGAUACCUUUGGAAAUGAGAUUACUGAGUCCCCUGUGGCUCACAGAUUACUAUAACACCAGUUGCAGGUACAUGUAAAGAUUACUUGAUGCGAGCGCGUUGAUUGUUCAUUUGGAGGUGCUUCUUCUUCUUCUUCUUCAUCGAUCUAGGAUGGGCUCCAGGCCGGCAGCCUGGGAUAGCAAGAAUGGACGUCGUUCUUUUCUCGUUUGUUUUUAUCCGUAGCCGGACCCUGCUCUUCUUCGUGAUAUUUAUGUAUUGUAUUGAUGUGACUCUGAUGUAGCUUGUGGAGAGUGUAAGCCAAUUCCAUAUAUCUCAUCUUUUCAGUACAUGUACUUGUAACGAUAUCCAUUCUUGCGAAACGACGAGAUGCGCUUCUAUCCCUGAAGAGGCCCUCGUGCCAAAUUAAGGAUAGGGUCGCAUCUUGGGCAUUACAGGUCACGCUUAGGUUCAAAAGAUGUGCCCUCGAUGAUCCGAAGGACAGUCUACAAAGCACCGAAGAAGAGGUGAAGAUUGAAGACACGACCAAAAAGGAGUAUUGUCAUCGAGCUACAGACGAGCUGACGACAGUAAAGACGGUCCACCAAAUGCUGCAAGGGACGACAAAGGCCAUGCCAAUGAUAACAGUUAUGAGAAGCAGCAAUCGUGUUUGGUACCCAAGUCGGAAGUAAGGACAUCGUGAUUAGGGGGUGAAUGUGAGUUAAUCACGUUGCCCUGUACACAUAGGAUUAGGAAAGAAAGUCAAACCGAGUCCUAGUAGUAUUAGGAUACCUAGUCCUAGUCUAUUUUCAUAGUCCCUUGUGGAUGUGUAUAAAAGGCACCCUAGGGGUGAUGCUUGUAACACCAGAAAAACGAAAAAGCAAUACAAAGUUUAACAGGCUCGAUACGAGCCUGCGGCCAUCGAUCAGUUUUUCCGUCGCCCCGUCGCCGAAGACGUACGUCGUUCCGAUUCGCCGCUGAUCGAGCUAGCCAGUUGCACUAUAACGGCGACGUGCACAAGCUACUAAUCCAUCCAGCAGCUUGCGUGCUUGGUUGUAUAGCUAGCUUUGCACGUACGUUGUAUAGCUCUGGGUAGUUUUGAUCUACGGUUUAAAAGCCAACAAUGGGUAGCUUACAUGCCAAGCUAUAUGUAGCUUGGGAGCUAGGCUAUGCUCGUCCCCUGGGGCACUUUAUAAACCAGCGCCCAGGGGACAAGUUACAUUGUAGAUGAAGUUGCAUGGGACGUCGUAGUUGACUCCGGACAGCCGUCUGGCUGGCACACCUGGCUGGUCGGAGCAGCCGGUCGUGGGCAGGAAUGGGAGCAGCCGGCCCGGGAGAGCAAGCACCCCGUCCGACUCUCCGUCUUUGGGGUACCCGGGGAUCAUUCCCCCGGCAAUGAUGAUGAUUUGUGAGUAGUUACUUCGUUACUGAGGACAUGGGAUAAGUCUUGUUAUAAGUAAUCAUGUGAUGUUGGUAUCUAUUUAAUAUUUUUGAUGAUGUGUAUGUUGCUCUUCCUUUAGUGGUGUAACGUCAACUACAUGACACUUCACCAUAUUUCAGAAUAAGGAAAAGUUUGGGGAGUAAUAAGUAGAGGAUGUGUUGCGAGAGUGACAAAGCUUAAAACCUAGUUUAUGCGUUAUUCCAUAAGGGGGCUGAUUCGGAUCCAUAUGUUUCAUGUUGUGGUUAGAUUUAUCUUAAUUCUUCUUUCGUAGUUGGGGAUGAUUGUGAGAGGGGGUAAUUGUAAGAGGAUUGUUUGUUCAAGUAAGAACAACACCCUAGCACCGGUCCAUCCACAUAUCAAAUUAUCAAAAUAUCGAAUGAGAAUCAAUUAAACACGAUGAACGUGACUAGACCACAAUUCCCAUAUGUCCUCGAGAGCGUUUUACUUCAUAAGAGAAUUUCAGGCUUGUCAUUUGCUAUAAAAAGGAUUGGGCCACCUUGCCGCACCUUAGUUACAAUUUUUACUUUUCACUUGUUACGAAAUGCACUACUAUCAAACUAUCUGUUACCGCUACUCUGAGUGCUUGGAGGAAUUACCUUGCUGAAAAUCACUUGUCAUUUUCUUGUGCUCCUCGUUCGGUUAGACACUUUUACUUAUCAGAAGGACUACGAUUGAUUUCCUAUACUUGUGGGUUGUCAUCCCCUUGCUUUGCAUCCGCAUCUUCAUUGUCGAUUACCGGUUAUGUACCUCUCCGGUCACUGCGAGGGCAUCCUCGGACGUCUACAAUCCUGCCCAUGGUCAUGUCAGCCUUGGUCUAGGAUUGCUAGGUUUACCUCGCGCGGCGCACGAUGACCCGCUCAAAGUGACACGCUGCUGGCCUCGAGCCUCCUGCGGCCGGCUGACUCAUCCCACUCAUCGAAGGUUGUUUCCAGCUCCCACAUGAGCCACGAAGGGGAACCCUAUAUGGCACACGAGGUGUUCGUAUGGGCCAGCCAUUUUCCUUUUUUUCCUUUUAUUUUUUUUCUUUUCUUUUUCUCUUUUUGUUCUUUACUUUUCACUUUUUGGUGAAAUUUCUUUUCAAAUUCACAACAAUUUUUGUUCAUUGAAUUCAAAAAAAUGUUCAUCGAUAUUAAAAAUUUGUUCAUUCGAUUAUAAAAAUGUUCAUCAAAUUCAAUUAAAAAAAUUCAUACAUGUUUCAGAAACAAUGUCCAUCAAGUUCAAAAUUUGUGCACGAAAUACAAAAUAAUUUUCAUCAUUAUAAAAAAUAUUCAUUCUAUUGAAAUCAAAAACAUUUUUGAAUUUGAGAAGUAUUUUCAACAAUUCAAAAUUCACAUUUUUUUUGAAAUUUUAGAACCUUUUUGUAAUCCUGAAUUAUUUUAACAUCGAAUAAAACAAAACCAGAAAGUUUAAAAAGUAAAGUAAAAACGAAAAAAAAAAACAGGGGCGUCCAGCCCCGGAAAUAGGCCGGCCUAAACAGGGCGUCCAGUCCAGCUAUGGAUGCGCUUCGCCGCGGAGAGCACGGACCGUGUAUUCUUGGAACUCCACGCCUGCCGUGUAGAACCACAAGGGCCAUAUCGAACUGGUUUUCUUGAGCCCGAAGUUCGCCCACCCCUAUAUACAUUAGCCAGCGCACCACCCCUACGCAUCACCAAACCCUCCUCGCGAUCGACCGAGCGCCGCCGCCACACCCUCCCAGAUCUCAGAUCCCAUCUCUGCUCUUCCCCAUCCACUACCUCCACCCCACCCCACCCCGGCCUUAUCGCCGCGCCCCGCGCCCGAGCGCCUCCCGUCAGCCGCCGCGCCCGUUUCUCCAGACCCCGCUGACGACGCCGCUCACCACCUUCCGCGGCUACCCCCGUCCUCGAGCCCUCCACCUCAGUCGGGCCGUGUCUCCUUCUGCUGGAUCGCGUCCGGAUGACGGGCGCCGUCUGCCGGUUUUGUCGCGGAGCCCGGCGGCUCUGUGGUGUUCAAGCAGGAACCUCAUGCUACCGGCAGCAUGCGGCGCUUGCUUGAACAUCCCAGAGCCACCGGCGUGCCAAAAUUCACGCAGAAGGAGAUCGAUCUCUCGAGGAGAGAUCCGCCGCCAAGCUGGAGUACGUGAACGUCUUCUUCAAGUGCUUCACUUUUUUCUUUUCUUGCGGAGAACCCCCAAUACCGUGUUUAUCCUCAACGGAGGUGAGGCCCGUUAUCUUCAAUUCUGCAUUGUAGGCUGUUGUAUCCUCAUUGUGUUUUAUGUUUUGCUGCCGGUGCAUAUGAUAAGUAUAUGCUGUAUGCACAUACUAGCUUGUUAUUCAGUGUAAUACUAGCUUGUUAUUCAGUGUAGGCAUGUGCGUUCGGGCAGAUGAUGGUUUGCUCACAGUGUGCGUUCUAAAACGAACAUUUAUAAUUUAAUGGAUUUGUUGGCCUGAUAAUUGUAUUUUUUAAUCCCGACACGCCAUUGUUUUUCAGUAGGGAAGAAAAUGUCAAAUUAUGGAUACUAUACUUUGUGGUGGGGUUACCCAUUGUAUUUCGGGCGGCUAAUAAUACUCAAUUUUGUGUGUGUAAAAAUGUGGUUUUUAUGUAAAUACAUUUUUUAACUGGAAUGUCAGGUUUGAAGAUUCCACAUGGUAGUUGGUAGCAUUACUCAUAAGUCAGAAGAGUGAUUCAUUUGAAUCUGUUGCAGCUAUGGUAAUUAUAUUUGUAUUGCACUAACCAGUUGACUUCUUGCUAUCCUUGCUUGGUUGAAGUAUGCCUCUAUUGUCUUGGUAUACCAGCUCUACCUUUUUGCAUAAUGUUAAUACUUAAGCAUACAGUUCUGUACUCCCUUUGCAGAACACUAUUGAGCCGUUUUCUGUGAUUACAUAAUAUCGUAUUUGCUGUAGUUGAUUUUAAAGUGGAGGAAAUCAAUGGCGAUGAUGAUAAUACUUAGGCUUGUUUCUCAAAACAUUCGCAGUUGCCGCCUAAGAGCUUUCGCCCUGCCAGGCUUGAGAGCUAAUGCUGCUAAUUCCUUCCUUGGAUGUCUGAGCCAUGUUGAUUUUACUAAUUUGAAUCUUUCUUGUUUCUGCUUUAUAUUCUUUUUUAAGAGGUUAUUUUUGUGAUUAUACUUGCUUUAUGUGCUUUACCAUAAUAUAUUUUUGCCUCACAUAUUUGAAUUUGGGGGAGAUCAAUGGCGAUGAUGAUAAAACUUAGGCUUGUUUCUCAAAACAUUUGCAGUUGCCGCCUAAGAN
rnacentral:lncRNA from 1 species